GGCGACGCCGAGCGGAACCCGAAAAGGCGCCUCAGUUCGGAUUGGAGUCUGCAACCCGACUCCAUGAAGCUGGAUUCGCUAGUAAUCGCGCAUCAGCCACGGCGCGGUGAAUACGUUCCCGGGCCUUGUACACACCGCCCGUCAAGCCAUGGGAGCCGGGAGUGCCUGAAGUGCGCGGCCGCGAGGAGCGCCCUAGGGCAAGACUGGUGACUGGGGCUAAGUCGUAACAAGGUAAC
rnacentral:rRNA from 1 species